rnacentral:rRNA from 1 species
ACUCCUACGGGAGGCAGCAGUGGGGAAUCUUGGACAAUGGGGGCGAACCCUGAUCCAGCCAUGCCGCGUGAGUGAUGAAGGCCUUAGGGUCGUAAAGCUCUUUCGCCUGUGAUGAUAAUGACAGUAGCAGGUAAAGAAACCCCGGCUAACUCCGUGCCAGCAGCCGCGGUAAUACGGAGGGGGUUAGGCGUUGUUCGGAAUUACUGGGGCGUAAAGCGCGCGUAGGCGGACCAGAAAGUUGGGGGUGAAAUCCCGGGGGCUCAACCCCGGAACUGCCUCCAAAACUCCUGGUCUUGAGUUCGAGAGAGGUGAGUGGAAUUCCGAGUGUAGAGGUGAAAUUCGUAGAUAUUCGGAGGAACACCAGUGGCGAAGGCGGCUCACUGGCUCGAUACUGACGCUGAGGUGCGAAAGUGUGGGGAGCAAACAGGAUUAGAUACCCUGGUAGGAUAGCG